rnacentral:lncRNA from 1 species
CGUUGCGAAAGUCGGAGGUCGGGCCUCGUCGUUCGGCUAGUCGGGAACGGAAAGGGUCUUCCCGACCGACAUACCUUCGGUCGGACGGUGUCGGCAGUCGUCGGUCGGUGCAGUCAAUGUGGUCAGUAGAGUCGGACGUUGGUUAGGCGGGUCCGAUGGUGAGUCGGUGUGAGAGGGACCGGUCGGUAUAUCCCAACAGUUGCCUCCCUCCCCACUCCUGAGUCGGAUGUCAUGCUAGCCAGCGUCCUUGUGUGGGCGGCGGCUUCGGGCGAAAGGAGUGAAUAUCCAUCGCAUU